GAUGAAGAACGCAGCGAAAUGCGAUAAGUAGUGUGAAUUGCAGAAUUCAGUGAAUCAUCGAAUCUUUGAACGCACAUUGCGCCCUUUGGUAUUCCUUAGGGCAUGCCUGUUCGAGCGUCAUUUAAACCUUCAAGCUAAGCUUGGUGUUGGGUGACUGUCCGCUUCACGGCGGACUCGCCUCAAAAUUAUUGGCGGCCGGUACAUUGGCUUCGAGCGCAGCAGAAACGCGAACUCGGGCCCGUCGUAUUGGCUCCCAGAAGCUAUCUUCACAAUUUUGGCCUCGGAUCAGGUAGGGAUACCCGCUGAACUUAAGCAUAUCAAUAAGCGGAGGA
rnacentral:misc_RNA from 1 species